GUCCCUGUAGCGCAAUGAUUAGCGUGUUGAACAUCUAAUCCAAAGGUAGUGGGUUCGAAUCCUACCUGAGAUG